rnacentral:rRNA from 1 species
UACGUAGGGUGCGAGCGUUAAUCGGAAUUACUGGGCGUAAAGCGUGCGCAGGCGGUUUUUCAAGACCGAUGUGAAAUCCCCGGGCUUAACCUGGGAAUGGCAUUGGUGACUGGAAGGCUAGAGUGUGUCAGAGGGGGGUAGAAUUCCACGUGUAGCAGUGAAAUGCGUAGAGAUGUGGAGGAAUACCGAUGGCGAAGGCAGCCCCCUGGGAUAAUACUGACGCUCAUGCACGAAAGCGUGGGGAGCAAACAGG